AGCCAUCAAUAAAGCUAAACGACG
rnacentral:siRNA from 1 species